UACGAAGGUCCCAAGCGUUAUCCGGAUUUAUUGGGUUUAAAGGGUGCGUAGGCGGACUGUUAAGUCAGUGGUGAAAGCUCCAUGCCUAACAUGGAAAAUGCCAUUGAUACUGAUAGUCUUGAGUACAUUUGAAGUGGGCGGAAUGUGUCAUGUAGCGGUGAAAUGCUUAGAUAUGACACAGAACACCGAUUGCGUAGGCAGCUCACUAAACUGUAACUGACGCUGAGGUGCGAAAGCGUGGGGAGCAAACAGG
rnacentral:rRNA from 1 species